GAUGAACGCUGGCGGCGUGCUUAACACAUGCAAGUCGAACGAGAAGUGGAGACGGAAACCUUCGGGCGGAAGACUUUAUUUCGAGUGGCGGACGGGUGAGUAACGCGUGGGUAACCUGCCUCAUACAGGGGGAUAACAGUUGGAAACGACUGUUAAUACCGCAUAAGACCACAGCACCGCAUGGUGCGGGGGUAAAAACUCCGGUGGUAUGAGAUGGACCCGCGUUCGUUUAGCCAGUUGGCGGGGUAACGGCCCACCAAAGCGACGAUCGAUAGCCGAUCUGAGAGGAUGACCGGCCACAUUGGGACUGAGACACGGCCCAAACUCCUACGGGAGGCAGCAGUGGGGAAUAUUGCACAAUGGGGGAAACCCUGAUGCAGCGACGCCGCGUGAGUGAAGAAGUAUUUCGGUAUGUAAAGCUCUAUCAGCAGGGAAGAAAAUGACGGUACCUGAGUAAGAAGCCCCGGCUAACUACGUG
rnacentral:rRNA from 1 species